UGUAAAAGUGAUAUUCAAGGGGGAUUGUAUACCAUCCCACGUCAAAGUUGGGCAUUUCCGACACCCUGUUCACCCAUUCAUACAAAAGCCACUUCAAUGUCAUCAGUGCUUCAGGCUAGGACACGUCAGAGGCGUGUGCCCCAACUCGCUACUCUGUCCCCGUUGCGCUGAACCUCAUGCAGAAGACACCUGCCGUGCCACUACUCUGAAGUGCGCCAACUGCAGCGGUCCUCAUGCUGCCUCGUCGAAA